GGCUGGUCUGAAGGCAGUGAGUUAUCAUCUCACUUGAUUGUUCACAGUCAGUUACAGAUUGAGCUCCUUGUUCUACCCAUUCCCCUCUCUCACAAUUGCACUUCACGAGUCUUAA
rnacentral:Y_RNA from 1 species